AUUCUUUGCAGGGCGCAGCUGUGAGGAUGAGCGCAGGACUCUGCAGGAAGCAGACCCAAGACUCUGCCAGCUCCUCCUGGCCCUCUCCAGAGAGUCCGUGGAAUGCCAUCAGCAAUGACUUUUGGCAAUUUCAGUAACUUCUUGGUAUCCUGAAAUCUUGGGGUGCUUUUCCCUGACCUUCACGCGAACAGCCCUGCUAACGAUUCUGUAAACACCGAAUUCCUUCUGUAGAAUCCAUCCAGCUUGACGGAAUGGAAGUUUUCUGUUUCCAUGACCGGGCCCCAGCUCACACAGCAUUUGGCUCCAGACUGUUUUCAGGGAACAGAACCUCUCUAAGAAUGAGCACGUGGGGUUGGCUAACUAACAGGGGUAGAUUUAGAGUUAGCAAUGACCUCCUUGGAAAUGGAGUAUGUGCUGGCCGUGUGACUUGAACCAUCGCUAGCAUUUGCCUGUGAAGAGGCUGCCCACUGAAGGAAGGCUUUGGGAUGCCAGGUGGCUGUGGAAAUGGAAUAUUCUGGUGACAACAAUAAGGACGACGUCUGUGGGGGGUGCCAUCUGCUCCAGGCAGCACCAGAGAGUUUGGAGAAGAGAAAAAGGCACGGUGAGGGCCUGACAUUCCUGGUCCAAGGCAAGUUCGGAGAACUGAGGGAUGUAAAAUAAUCUGUCAUCUCUUACAGCUGUAUCCAAAUAGCAAAUAAAAAAUCGGAUCCCAAGGGCUCCGGGUUCACAACGCCAGUGGGAUUCACAGGCUUACUUGGCCCAGAGCCCGGGUGUGCUCUUGCCCACAGGUGUGAUCGUCCUCAGAGGACCUACCCACUCCGCGGCUGACACCGCCUGCUGAGACGGGCCUCGCUCCCGGCCCUGAGCUGCCUGUGCCUGCGUACUGGAGGCGUCCAUGUUCUAUGGCCACACCUGUGCAGACCUCCCAGCCUGCCUGUGUCUGAGAUCCACCCUCUUCCCUGUCCUCCUAGGCACAAGGAUGGCCUCCCAGGCACAGCUGCGGUCUCCAGAAGAUUCUCUGAGCACAGCGUGGGAGGAAGUGGGUCCACGCAGGGAGGCCAGCGCCACUGCCCACCUCCCCUCCUCCUCCUCCCUUCGCAGCCACCUGCAGGCCCAGGGACCCCCUUGGGGAGCCCGGAAGGGAGGUUUGCCGGUGGGCCUCGGCAGUACCAGCCUCAGCCACAAGAUGGCAGACACUUCACUAAGAAAAACCUCCAAGGCGAGCAGGGAAACCGCAGCCCACCCACGCCUCUGCACCGCCCUGGGCCUGGGACCUCAUGGACGGGUCCUGUCGGGUGGCGGAUAGAGGUGGCGGCCACCGGCCUGCGAUGAGCGUGGCGUCAAUCUGCAGGCUUCGGUUGUCCUUCCCAGCACUCUCCCCCAUCCCCCCACCCACCGCCAAAACUGAGGGAAAGGACAAAAAAGAGACUAGGUGCGAAAGAAGGGGAAAGGGACCACGGAAGGUCACAUCUAGUGUCUUCCUGGUCCCCCUUCGUCCGCUGCCUCACUUGCAAGUCACUCCCCUCGGACAACUCCAUGCAUUCUGCGAGGUCUCCCUCCGCCACUGUUCAGAUUCACGUCUUGAUUUCAGUGGGCUUCGCAGCCCCCCUGCUCCUUCGCUGUCCCCCGGGGUGGGCCCCGCUGUGUGCGGCACAAGUGACAGCAUUAAGUUAAUCAUGACAUCUCCCUCCAGGGCCCUGCAGGCUUGGCGAUCUUCAAAGAGUGCACUGCCCUGACUGUUCACCAGGGAGCCUGGGAGAUCUGGGCCUGCCCCAGCACCUCCCCUAACCCAGGAGGGGGCCUCUCCCUGGCCCCGAAUCAGAACACCCCAGGCCUUUCUCUCCGAUCCAACCCACCCCGGGCCCUUCUCCCCGUCCAGUUUAGCUCCGCCGCAGACCCUUCUCCCUGAUCCCACUCCACCCUGGCCCCUUCUCCCUGUCCCUCUCCACCCCAGGCCCUUCUCCCGAAUCCCACUCUAUCCCGAGUCCUUCUCCCCAUCCCACUCCACCCCAGGCCCUUCUCCCCGAUCCUAUUCCAUCCCGAGUCCUUCUUCCCGUCCCACUCCACCCCGGGCCUUCUCCCCAUUCCUGCUCCACCCCAGGCCCUUCUCCCCGAUCCUAUUCCAUUCCGGGUCCUUCUCUCCAUCCCACUCCACCCCGGGCCUUCUCCCCAUUCCCGCUCCACCCCAGGCCCUUCUCCCUGAUUCACCCCUCAGCAUCGUCUCCCUCACCAUCUUCUACCUUUUCAGCCUUUCCUUCCCCUCUGCGCACUAUUUUCUUUGGUGUUGUUCAUUUUUACCUGUUUCCCGAAUGUUCCAUUCCCUUGCACACGAUCUCCAAGGAAUGUCCUUUCCUCUUUUCCAUCGCAGGAACUCCUAUCCAUCUCUGAGGACCCAGACCAAAUGUCCCCACCUCUAUGAAACCUGCCCGCUUCUUGAAGGCAGAAGCUGCUCCACAUACUAUGUUCGCGUGGCAUCGCAAUGCCCGACAGCGCUGAUGACGCUGCAUUACAAAAACCCUUCUGUUCUCCAAGCCACUUCCACUACCCAGGACUGUCUGUGUCUCUCCCUCAUCUCGGGGCUUUGUGCACUGUGUGCAAUUAAUGAAUGAAUGAAUGAAUGAAUGAG
rnacentral:lncRNA from 1 species